rnacentral:rRNA from 1 species
GAAGAUUAAUCCCCCAUGGUCUCUUAUUUAUGGCAUCAUAAUUAGAAGUAAAGUAUUACGGUAUAAGAUGAGUAUGCGUUUCUAUUAGCUAGAUGGAGUGGUAACGGCACCCCCAUGGCUACGAUAGAUAGGGGCCCUGAGAGGGGGAUCCCCCACACUGGUACUGAGACACGGACCAGACUCCUACGGGAGGCAGCAGUGAGGAAUAUUGGACAAUGGAGGCAACUCUGAUCCAGCCAUGCCGCGUGCAGGAAGACUGCCCUAUGGGUUGUAAACUGCUUUUAUACAGGAAGAAACCACUCUACGUGUAGAGUCUUGACGGUACUGUAAGAAUAAGGAUCGGCUAACUCCGUG